rnacentral:rRNA from 1 species
CACGUAGGCGGAUAGUCAAGUCAGGCGUGAAAGCCCCGGGCUCAACCCGGGAACUGCGCUUGAUACUGAUUGUCUUGAGUCCGAGAGAGGGUGGUGGAAUUCCCAGUGUAGAGGUGAAAUUCGUAGAUAUUGGGAAGAACACCAGUGGCGAAGGCGGCCACCUGGCUCGGUACUGACGCUGAGGUGCGAAAGCGUGGGGAGCAAACA